rnacentral:rRNA from 1 species
UACGGGGGGGGCAAGCGUUGUUCGGAAUUACUGGGCGUAAAGGGCGCGUAGGCGGCCUGCUAAGUCGGACGUGAAAUCCCUCGGCUCAACCGGGGAACUGCGUCCGAUACUGGCGAGGCUUGAAUCCGGGAGAGGGAUGUGGAAUUCCAGGUGUAGCGGUGAAAUGCGUAAAUAUCUGGAGGAACACCAGUGGCGAAGGCGGCAUCCUGGACCGGCAUUGACGCUGAGGCGCGAAAGCUAGGGUAGCAAACGGG